UAACUGAACCUUCGGGGAACGUUAACGGCGUCGAGCGGCGGACGGGUGAGUAAUGCCUGGGAAAUUGCCCUGAUGUGGGGGAUAACCAUUGGAAACGAUGGCUAAUACCGCAUAAUAGCUUCGGCUCAAAGAGGGGGACCUUCGGGCCUCUCGCGUCAGGAUAUGCCCAGGUGGGAUUAGCUAGUUGGUGAGGUAAGGGCUCACCAAGGCGACGAUCCCUAGCUGGUCUGAGAGGAUGAUCAGCCACACUGGAACUGAGACACGGUCCAGACUCCUACGGGAGGCAGCAGUGGGGAAUAUUGCACAAUGGGCGCAAGCCUGAUGCAGCCAUGCCGCGUGUAUGAAGAAGGCCUUCGGGUUGUAAAGUACUUUCAGCAGUGAGGAAGGUUCAUACGUUAAUAGCGUUUUGAUUUGACGUUAGCUGCAGAAGAAGCACCGGCUAACUCCGUGCCAGCAGCCGCGGUAAUACGGAGGGUGCGAGCGUUAAUCGGAAUUACUGGGCGUAAAGCGCAUGCAGGUGGUUUGUUAAGUCAGAUGUGAAAGCCCGGGGCUCAACCUCGGAAUUGCAUUUGAAACUGGCAGACUAGAGUACUGUAGAGGGGGGUAGAAUUUCAGGUGUAGCGGUGAAAUGCGUAGAGAUCUGAAGGAAUACCGGUGGCG
rnacentral:rRNA from 1 species